rnacentral:lncRNA from 1 species
CAGUCACAACGCACCAGUGAGCCUAUUUUCAUCAUGCAGACAAAUGGUCACACAUUGCAUGCCCCAGGAAACUAGUUAACAAGACACAGGUAGAGUCUACGGACGGCAGAAUUUGCUGAUAACGAGUGUACAUGCCUACAGGUAUCUGCAGGCAUCCAUGAAUUUUCUGAUAUGCACAAGCUAGAGGACUUAAAUCAAGCGGACGAGGCUCAGGUGCGCUCAGCUAUCAGCCGCACGCAGAAUCUGCAUCAGAUUCAGGAACAGGUUGAUAAUGUCGAGGUAGAGGGACACGGCAGCCCAGAUGUACUCAUCAUACGUGUAGCGCUUGAUGAUGUUGUCCGUGUCGAAGAUGAUGUAGCCACAGAAGAUGAUCGACGCCACGGCCCCAUAGAUCAUGACGGAGAUCUUGCCC